CUGCUCCCGACUCUGCCCAGGUGGGAAGAUGUCCUCCGUUCCUGUGGGGCCCCGCCACUGUCCUUGUCACAUAGCAUUUAUGGGACUGGCACCUGGCUCCCAGGACGUGCGACACUCUGGAAGGUGAAUCUCCAUCACCCGCCCCUCUUCCCCGUGGCCACUGCGUCAGACACUGGCCUUUGGUUUUGGCAUUCCAAUCACAUCCUCUUACCCACAGUAGCUGAUGUGCUGUCUCCCGUGCGCCGUGAACAUCAUUCCUGUCUGCCCUCCCAUUCAUGCACGCAUUCAUUCAUUCAUUCUGGCCAAUCAGAGCACUCUGUUUUCUUGGCCAAUCAGAGCAUUCCAUUCUCCUGUCCACAAAGAUGAGUUUCAGAUGGGCAGGUGACAUCGCCAUGCCCCUGGAGCUUAAAUCUGAGACUUCUGUGGGAACACGGUGAGGAGCAGCAUGCACUCUUAAGCUGCAUGAAAGGUGUCAGCCUGGUGACUUCUACAACGUGCGCCCGGUGGCCUCACAAUGUACAGUAACCCAUCUCCCUUUGUAGGUGUGAAAAGCCGCCCUGUGUCCCGGGGCUGUCCCCAGACCAGGCCUAGUGCACCAUGGGCUGGUCCCUGCACAUCUCCAGAGCUCCCGGGGUCCAUGGCAGGCGCAGACACAAUCAUGGGCUGUGGACGGCACACGGAGCUGGUUCAGAGGCCGCAGUGCAUUCCUGCUCAGGCUGCUCCAAGAGGACACAGAGGAGUUAACUUAGAGCUCGUGUUGAUCCACUAUUGUACUUGGAGAAAAUCAUAUGGCCACGUGACAUGCAUGUUGGUGCCCGUUGUAGGUGAUGUGGUCUCAUCCUGACCAUCACAUGGCUCUUUAAAUCCUAAGAGACAUCGCAGGUACAGGCCCCAUCCUGGAGGACCCUGACAGCUCAGGGUAGCCUUAGAAGGCUCUUUCAGCCCAGCCAGCAGCUGUCCUUGGUGCUGACCAAAGCCUAACGCC
rnacentral:lncRNA from 1 species